rnacentral:rRNA from 1 species
CUACGGGGGGCUGCAGUGGGGAAUAUUGCACAAUGGGCGCAAGCCUGAUGCAGCCAUGCCGCGUGUAUGAAGAAGGCCUUCGGGUUGUAAAGUACUUUCAGCGGGGAGGAAGGGAGUAAAGUUAAUACCUUUGCUCAUUGACGUUACCCGCAGAAGAAGCACCGGCUAACUCCGGUGCAGCAGCCGCGGUAAUACGGAGGGUGCAAGCGUUAAUCGGAAUUACUGGGCGUAAAGCGCACGCAGGCGGUUUGUUAAGUCAGAUGUGAAAUCCCCGGGCUCAACCUGGGAACUGCAUCUGAUACUGGCAAGCUUGAGUCUCGUAGAGGGGGGUAGAAUUCCAGGUGUAGCGGUGAAAUGCGUAGAGAUCUGGAGGAAUACCGGUGGCGAAGGCGGCCCCCUGGACGAAGACUGACGCUCAGGUGCGAAAGCGUGGGGAGCAAACAGGAUUAGAUACCCCAGUAGUC